UUCAAAUCAACAAAUAUUGUAUAUUAUCAUUAAUUAAUGUUAUCUAAACAAAAGAGUUGAAAUGGCCGAGUUGGUCUAAGGCGCCAGAUUAAGGUUCUGGUCCGAAAGGGCGUGGGUUCAAAUCCCACUUUCAACAUUAUUUUUAUAACUUUUAUUUAAAAGAGAAAAAGACCAAAAUACCCUCUUUCCCUUUUUCUCUAUUAUCAAAACCACUCAAUUUGGUGCCCUAGCUAACCCUAGCUCUUCACUACUAUAUAUAUAGCUAUUUCAACCCAAAACCCUAAUAUCAAAACUGAAUCCAAAGCUUAAACCUUUCAUUCUUGCUCUUUUCUUAUAUGUGUUUUUUCCCCCUUUUUCUUGGUAUUGGACUCUUAAUUGAAAGCUAAAUUAGAGUGAUAAAUCCAACCAAGGUUUCAAAUGACUAAGCGAAAGGUACAAAGUGAGGAGCAUGUCUAUUAGACAGUCUUUUAAUUUCUUAAAGAAACAAUACCAUUAGUGCCUAAUAGCAAUAGUUUUGUGUUAAAAUCUCUCGCCCUUCAUUCGUAUCAUUGCUAAUUUUGAUUUAGAUGUAGCCGAGGCAGAGCGGAGGCGAUUGAGCAAGGCUUGCUCAUUUCUCUUAAUAUAAGGAAGUGACUGUUGAAAAUUUGAUCUUGCAAUCUAUCAGGGCAGAGGAAGUCCAUCCAAGACAUGUUGUUAUUUUAUUGUUUUUGUAAUUAGUUUGUCAUUUGUUAUGUUGUACUUAAACAAAAUCUCAUAUUUUAGCUUAAGAUGCAGUUUGGAUUUGCAGCUCUGUGCCAUGGCUGACUUUUCGGGCUCCUUAUGUAGGCGGGAUGUGUGGCGCUUUCUGGCACUUGUAGCAAGAAUAUUCCUAAACCGGGUUUGGUUUGGUGGAAUGUAAUUAUAAUACGAAUAGUAAUAGAAUGGAAUGAUGAAUAUUGGAAUGGAUGAUAAAUUAAUAAAA